CCUGCUUGACUGGCAGAUGCAGUGUCUCUAGGAAACGCAUCUUUGCUGAGCAGUGCAGGGAGGUGAGGGAGCUGUGUGUAGCAGCUGGAGUCUGCCCACCAGCUAAAGAAAGCUGUAUGCUAAGAGCAGCAUUUCUGUUUCUACAUAAUUUUCUGGUAGGUUUUAAAAAUGUAUGUGUAGUCUACCUCCAAAUCUCUGCCCUUGGAAGCAGGUCAAGCUGUGGAUGUACUGUGGAAUGCUUCCUCAUCUUCCCUUAAUGAAACCUGCCUUCAGAUGCGACACUGUUCUUCAUGUUGGUCUUACAUUAAUGAGAAAAAACAAUGUCUGAUGAAGCUAUUGGCGAAAGCGCUUACCUGUGGUGCACCAAUAAAAUCGUUUUACCAUCGUAUGUGACUACAGUUCCAGUUUGUUACAGUAUCUACGUUUUUGGAAUAUUGGCUUUUAUAUGGUUUGUUGGCAACCCUUCAUUGUUUUGCUCUCGCUUUAUGUGAUUUAUUACUGUUUUUUACGUUUGGCUUAUACAGCGGGAGCAUUAACUCUUCGUGGAAUUUUACUGUUGAAGUAUAGACAUUGACUGCAUUUUUUUAAACCUAGGCAUUUCUCUCAACUAUAUCUAUUUUCAAGCUUGAUGUACCCCUUUGUACGACAUACUUAUUUUUGCAGGUAUGAUAAUGUACCUAUUUUCUGGCUUGAUUUAUCCUUUUACAUGAUUUUUCUCCAUCUCACCACCGAACAUAUGAAUUUUAAUCAGGAAACCGGACUACUGGCCAACAUACUAGUGGCACCAAUAUUUUAAAGAACGAAGAUCCACAGUUUACAUCUUCCUUUUUCAGAAGCAAAAUUAAAUUAUUUUAUGAAUUAGAUUUUUGCAAUAUCUAAAUAUUGUACAUUGCAUUGUUAAUAAUAAUCUUAUAUUUUG